GUGAGUCAGCCACCUGGGGCUGCAGCCCUUGUUAGAGAAUGUUAAACGAGCAGGUCUCUGAGGAGGGGAGCUCAGCUUGGAGGGGUCUUGCCUGAGGACUGGGUGUAGCAGUGCCUCCUCUUGCCCUGAUAGGGGUUGGUAGCUUUGUGCAACAUUUGCUUGAUGUUGCAGGGCAAGGAAGAGAGUAUGUGGCUAGGGCUGGUUGGAGGCUGCAUCUAACUUAACUUUUCCAGGAUCUACAGGAGCCGGCUUUGUUACCAGCCAGAAGAAUUAGCUGUGAGCGGGGCCUAGACACGUGCACUGCUGUGUUUGCUGCUGUUACACGAGGGCUGUCAGCACGGUGAUGGGGAGGCAGUGGAGAAGCUGAAGAGGUGAAGCAAUUUAGGACUCAACCCAAAGGUUAUCCAAGCCAUCAGGAAGCUUCGUGUUGGUUCCUGCAGCCUUCGGCAGAGGCGCAGCUCCCCUCACUGUAACCACAUCUGAGCCACUGCAACAGGCAUUACUUAAUAGCGCUGAGAAGAGAAGCAGAAGAAAAUUUCUUUGAAGUUUUACCUGGACCUGAAGAGGCAGGAGGAGAGAAGACAAAGUGGAAAUACGGGUGAAUGGAGGAGAGCCAUUUGCCACCAUCCAAACAGGUCCAUUUCAACCACUUUCCUGUUGCGUACCUGCUUUUAGCCAGAGCCACUUGGUGCAAGCAGAGGUUAGAGACCUUUGGGGCUAACGCUAAAGUUCCAGCCUUUCUUCUGUUUCUUCUUAAUGUGAUGAAACCUGAGUCUGAAUGGGGAAAGUUCAUUCGUAAUGUGGCCAGCCCUGCGGUGCUGAGCUGAGAAAGUCUGCGGUUAUCACUUCCUCCUCUGGGGCGUUUGUGGAUGACCAUUGCUGCCCUGAGAGCGCCCGCCUGCUCGGCAGCCCCUGCCCAGUGUGCAGCCACGCAGCACGGUGUAGCCCACCCACAGCGAUGCUUUGUGCCAGCACCACCUGGCUGGGGGUUACGGCCCCAGGGCUCAGCACUCCUACCUUUUGCCUCCCCAUGCACAAAAGGCCGGCGUAGGUCUCCCCGACCUGGUGUGCCACCAAGGGAGCUUGCUUGUGAGUUUGUACAGUGCGUGGCUAGGAAUCAGCUGUAGCAAUCUGCCCACAGAACUCAAGCAACACCAGAAAAACUCAUUAUUCAAUACCUUAUUUCAUGCUCUGGAAACAAGAGCAGCAACCCCAGCCCUUCCUCCCCUUACAGCGGUGCGGUUUCCGUCAGUCUUUUCAACUCCUAAUGAGAUUUAGUGCUGGGGAGGGAUGUUUGUGCCAGAAGGACCGAGGCUUCUGAUCAAAAAGGCAUUGAAGUGUGCAGAAAAGUUCCUACAACAUUUGGAUCAAACCCCACUUCUGUAUGGAAGAACAGAGCUAAUGGCACCUUAGUGAAGGUUUUAG
ensembl:lncRNA